rnacentral:lncRNA from 1 species
AAGUGAUGAUCAUGGUGAUGAUGGUGAUGACCACAAGAUGAUCAAGUGCUCAACUUGGAAAAGAACAAAGAGAAAAACAAAACCCUAUGGAGAUCAAGGCAAAGGUAUUGCUUAGGGUUUUGGUUUUGGUGAUCAAGACACCAUAGAGGGUGUGAUCACAUUUAGGAUAGAUAGCUGUACUAUAAAGAGGGGAAUUCUUUGGCUAAGCGGUUAUCAAGUGC